CCUACGGGAGGCAGCAGUGGGGAAGUUUUGGUACAAUGGGCGCAAGCCUGAUCCAGCAAUGCCGCGUGCAGGAUGAAGGCCUUCGGGUUGUAAACUGCUUUUGUACGGAACGAAACGGUUCUUUCUAAUAAAGAGAGCUAAUGACGGUACCGUAAGAAUAAGCACCGGCUAACUACGUGCCAGCAGCCGCGGUAAUACGUAGGGUGCGAGCGUUAAUCGGAAUUACUGGGCGUAAAGCGUGCGCAGGCGGUUAUAUAAGACAGAUGUGAAAUCCCCGGGCUCAACCUGGGACCUGCAUUUGUGACUGUAUAGCUAGAGUACGGUAGAGGGGGAUGGAAUUCCGCGUGUAGCAGUGAAAUGCGUAGAUAUGCGGAGGAACACCGAUGGCGAAGGCAAUCCCCUGGACCUGUACUGACGCUCAUGCACGAAAGCGUGGGGAGCAAACAGGAUUAGAUACCCUGGUAGUCCACGCCCUAAACGAUGUCAACUGGUUGUUGGGUCUUCACUGACUCAGUAACGAAGCUAACGCGUGAAGUUGACCGCCUGGGGAGUCGGCCGCAAGGUUGAACUUAAGGAAUUGACGGCUGNGAGNGCGAGACGACGACGAGGAGGAGG
rnacentral:rRNA from 1 species